GGUGAACGCUAGCGGCAGGCCUAACACAUGCAAGUCGAGGGGUAACAUAGGAAAGCUUGCUUUUCUGAUGACGACCGGCGCACGGGUGCGUAACGCGUAUACAACCUACCUUUUAGCGGGGAAUAGCCCAGGGAAACUUGGAUUAAUGCCCCAUAGUAUAUAGACUUCUCCUGAAGUUUAUAUUAAACAUUUAUGGCUAUUAGAUGGGUAUGCGUCCUAUUAGUUAGUUGGUAAGGUAGCGGCUUACCAAGGCAGCGAUAGGUAGGGGUCCUGAGAGGGAGAUCCCCACACUGGUACUGAGACACGGACCAGACUCCUACGGGAGGCAGCAGUGAGGAAUAUUGGACAAUGGGCGAGAGCCUGAUCCAGCCAUGCCGCGUGCAGGAAGACUGCCCUAUGGGUUGUAAACUGCUUUUACAGAGGAAGAACCACCCCCACGUGUGGGGGUUUGACGGUACUCUGCGAAUAAGGAUCGGCUAACUCCGUG
rnacentral:rRNA from 1 species